rnacentral:rRNA from 1 species
UAGGGAAUCUUCCGCAAUGGACGCAAGUCUGACGGAGCAACGCCGCGUGAGUGAAGAAGGAUUUCGGUUCGUAAAACUCUGUUGUUAGAGAAGAACAGCGCAUAGAGUAACUGUUAUGCGUGUGACGGUAUCUAACCAGAAAGCCACGGCUAACUACGUGCCAGCAGCCGCGGUAAUACGUAGGUGGCAAGCGUUGUCCGGAUUUAUUGGGCGUAAAGCGAGCGCAGGCGGUCAAUUAAGUCUGAUGUGAAAGCCCCCGGCUCAACCGGGGAGGGUCAUUGGAAACUGGUUGACUUGAGUGCAGAAGAGGAGAGUGGAAUUCCAUGUGUAGCGGUGAAAUGCGUAGAUAUAUGGAGAAACACCAGUGGCGAAGGCGACUCUCUGGUCUGUAACUGACGCUGGGGUUCGAAAGCGUGGGUAGCAAACAGG